rnacentral:rRNA from 1 species
GACGGAGGGUGCAAGCGUUGUUCGGAAUUACUGGGCGUAAAGCGCGGGCAGGUGGCCUUUUAAGUCCUUUGUGAAAUUCCGGAGCUCAACUCCGGACAUGCAUAGGAUACUGGAAGGCUAGAGACUGGUAGAGGCGAGCGGAAUUCCUGGUGUAGCGGUGGAAUGCGUAGAUAUCAGGAAGAACACCCGUGGCGAAGGCGGUUCUCUGGAACGCAACUGACGCUGAGACGCGAAAGCGUGGGGAGCAAACAGG